rnacentral:rRNA from 1 species
AUUAAUAAUUAUUAUAUUUAAUAAAAAUAAUUUUAAUUUAAUAAAUAUUUUAAUGGGGGUUAAAGUAUUAUUUAAAGAAAAAAUUUUUAAAUUUAUAGUUAAUUAGUAUUGUGAAAGAAUUUUGAAAUAUUAUGAAAAUUAAAAUUUUAGUAAAGUAAUUUUUAUUUAUUGUAUCUUGUGUAUCAGAGUUUAUUAAAAAUUUUUAAUUUAUAAAUUAAUUUCUCGAAUUUAAAAGAGUUAAAUAAUUAUUAAAGUUAUUGUAGCAAAAUUAUUUUAAAUAAUUAUUUAGAAAUGAAAUGUUAAUCGUUUUUAAAUAUAUCUAGUUUUUAUAGAAAAAAAUUUAAUUUUAAAUUUUUAUAUUAUUUAAUUAAUUUAUUAAUUAAAUAAUUAUAAAAAUUUUAUAAUUUAAGGGAUAAGCUUUAAAUUAGAUUUUUAUAAUAUUAAAUUUUUAUUUUGAAAAUUUUAUAAUUUAUAUUGUUAAUAAAUUUUAUUUUAUUAUAAAUAAUUUCAUUUUUUUUAAAAUUUAAAUUUUAUUUAAUUUUUUAUAUAAAAUUUAUUUAUAAUUAUAUAAAUUUAAUUAUAAUGAUAAAAUUAGUAUAUUAUUUAAUAUAAAAUUAAAAUUAAUUUUUAAUUAAUAAUUAAAUUAAUUAAAAGGAAUUCGGCAAAUAUUUAUUUUCACUUGUUUAUCAAAAACAUGUCUUUUUGUUUUUAAUUUAAAGUCUAAUCUGCCCACUGAUUUAAAAAAAUUGAAGGGCUGCAGUAUAUUGACUGUACAAAGGUAGCAUAAUCAUUAGUCUCUUAAUUGGUGACUUGUAUGAAAGAUUGGAUGAAAAAUAUACUGUCUCUUAAUUAAUAUGUAGAAUUUAAUUUUUUAUUUAAAAAGUUAAAAUAAUUUAAAAAGACGAGAAGACCCUAUAGAGUUUAAUAAGUUUUUUUGUAAGAGUUUUAUUUAUAAUUAUUAAUAAUUUUAUAAAUUUUUUUAUUUUAUUGGGGGGAUAAAAAAAUAAAUUUAACUUUUUUUAAAUAAUUUACAUAAAUAAAUGAUUAAU